rnacentral:rRNA from 1 species
AUUGAACGCUGGCGGAAUGCUUUACACAUGCAAGUCGAACGGCAGCACGGGAGCUUGCUCCUGGUGGCGAGUGGCGAACGGGUGAGUAAUAUAUCGGAACGUAUCCAAUAAUGGGGGAUAACUAGUCGAAAGAUUAGCUAAUACCGCAUACGCCCUGAGGGGGACAGCUGGGGAUCUUCGGACCUGGCGUUAAUGGAGCGGCCGAUAUCUGAUUAGCUAGUAGGUGAGGUAAAAGCUCACCUAGGCGACGAUCAGUAGCUGGUCUGAGAGGACGACCAGCCACACUGGAACUGAGACACGGUCCAGACUCCUACGGGAGGCAGCAGUGGGGAAUUUUGGACAAUGGGCGCAAGCCUGAUCCAGCCAUUCCGCGUGAGUGAAGAAGGCCUUCGGGUUGUAAAGCUCUUUCGCAAGGGAAGAAGACUUAUCCUCUAACAUAGGAUGAGGUUGACGGUACCUUGAUAAGAAGCACCGGCUAACUACGUGCCAGCCGCCGCAGUAA